rnacentral:rRNA from 1 species
UACGUAGGCAGCGAGCGUUGUUCGGAGUUACUGGGCGUAAAGAGUGCGUAGGCGGUUCCGUAAGUUUUGUUGUGAAAUCUCCCGGCUUAACUGGGAGGGUGCGGCGAAAACUGCGGGGGCUUGAGUGUGGGAGAGGUAAGCGGAAUUCCUGGUGUAGCGGUGAAAUGCGUAGAUAUCAGGAGGAACACCGAUGGCGAAGGCAGAUCUCUGGGCCAUUACUGACGCUGAGGAGCGAAAGCAUGGGGAGCGAACAGG